GAUUAUCUGAAGAUACAGUGAGUUAUCUCAAUUGAUUGAUCACAGCCAGUUACAGGUAGAAUUUCUUGUUCUACAUUUUCCUCCCCUCUCACUAGUGCACUUGAGUAGUCUUAA
rnacentral:Y_RNA from 10 species